UCACCAGGGAUUUUGUUAAAAUGCAGUAGGUCCGGGGUGAGGCCUGAGAUUCUGCAUUUCUAACCAGCUCCCAGGCGUUGAGGA
rnacentral:pre_miRNA from 1 species